rnacentral:rRNA from 1 species
GACGAACGCUGGCGGCGUGCUUAACACAUGCAAGUCGAACGGUGAAGCGCCUUCCUUUUUGGUGGGUGUGGAUGAGUGGCGAACGGGUGAGUAACACGUGAGUAACCUGCCCCCUUCUUCUGGAUAACCGCAUGAAAGUGUGGCUAAUACGGGAUAUUCUGGGUCUGUCGCAUGAUGGGUCUGGGAAAGAUAUUGUUUCGGUGGGGGAUGGGCUCGCGGCCUAUCAGCUUGUUGGUGGGGUGAUGGCCUACCAAGGCGGUGACGGGUAGCCGGCCUGAGAGGAUGGACGGGCACACUGGGACUGAGACGCGGCCCAGACUGCUAGGGGAGGCAGCAGUGGGGAAUAUUGUACACUGGGAGGAAGUAUGUUGCAGCGACGCCGGGUGAGGGAUGGAGGCGUUCGGUUUGUGAACCUCUUUCGCCAGUGAAGCAGGCCUGCCUCGUUUGUGGGUGGGUUGACGGUAGCUGGAUAAGAAGCGCCGGCUAACUACGUG